AAAACUAGCCAAUCUUUUGGGUAUGAAACCCAUUUGGGCGAGAGUAGUACUAGGAUGGAUGACCUCCUAGGAAGUCCUCGUGAAAGGGUUUC
rfam:Triticum aestivum genome assembly, contig: Triticum_aestivum_CS42_TGACv1_scaffold_288668_4AL